rnacentral:rRNA from 1 species
GCCUAACGGCUGAACUGGCAACUUGGAGAAGUGGCAAGUCUUCCAGUAUGGGGAGCAAAACAGCUAUGGGUCAAGUCCGAUAUCUUUAGGAGAAGUCUUAUUGUGAGGGCGAGUUAUAUAACACCAUAGGACUGGCCGUCCCAUAUGAAAAGAUUAUAUUAGAAUUGAAUGAAGCUUUGUUUAUAUAUUGAUAAUGACAGUAUAUAUAUCGUGUCUUGACUAAUUGCGUGCCAGCAGUCGCGGUAAUACGUAAGAGACUAGUGUUAUUCAUCUUAAUUAGGUUUAAAGGGUACCCAGACGGUCAAUAUAGCUUAUAAAAUGUUAGUACUUGACUAGAGUUUUAUGUAAGAGGGCAGUACUUGAGGAGGAGAGAUGAAAUUUCGUGAUACCAAAGGGACUCUGUANAGGCGAAGGCAGCCCUCUAUGUAAAAACUGACGUUGAAGGACGAAGGCACAGAGAACAAACAGGAUUAGAUACCCAAGUAGUCUUUGCAGUAAAUGAUGAAUGCCAUAGGUUAGAUUGGUCAAUUAUAGUCUAGGGUUAGUCUAGCAAACUAAUACCCUAUGNUAUAAUCCUAAUAUCUGGUCUAUAAAUGAAAGUGUAAGCAUUUCACCUCAAGAGUAAUGUGGCAACGCAGGAACUGAAAUCACUAGACCGUUUCUGACACCAGUAGUGAAG